UACGGAGGUGGCAAGCGUUGUUCGGAAUCACUGGGCGUAAAGCGCACGUAGGCGGAUCUUUAAGUCAGGGGUGAAAUCCCGAGGCUCAACCUCGGAACUGCCUUUGAUACUGGGGAUCUCGAGUCCGGGAGAGGUGAGUGGAACUGCGAGUGUAGAGGUGAAAUUCGUAGAUAUUCGCAAGAACACCAGUGGCGAAGGCGGCUCACUGGCCCGGAACUGACGCUGAGGUGCGAAAGCGUGGGGAGCAAACAGG
rnacentral:rRNA from 1 species